rnacentral:tRNA from 1 species
GGGGCUGUAGCUCAGUUGGCAGAGUGCUUGCAUGGCAUGCAAGAGGCCGGGGGUUCAAAUCCCCCCAGCUCCA